GGGGGGGGGAUUUUUUUUUCCUUUUGUUCCUUUUAAUACGACCGCAAAAAUUAAAAGUUUUUUGGUCGUAUAUUGGUAUGACGUUGGCGUCGUUGUCGUCGUCGUUGUUGUCGUCAUCGUCAUCGUCGUCUUCCAAAGACACAUUCGUUUUUGCACUCUAACUUUAGUUUAAGUGCAUAGAUCUCCAUGAAAUUUCACCAUAAGGUUCAAUACCACAAAAGGAAGGUUGGGAUUGAUUUUAGGGGUUAUGGUACCAACAGUUAAGGAAUUAGGGGCAAAAAAGGGGCCAAAAAUAAGAAUUUUUGUAACUUCCAGACAUAACUUGUGUGUUAGUGUAUGGAUCUCUCUGACAUUGUACCACAAGAUUCCAUAUCACAAGGGAAUGCUGGGAUUGAUUUUGGGGUAAUUGCCUCAAAAUUUUAGGAAUAAGGGGCCAAAAAAGGGGCAAAAAACAAGCAUUUUUCUAGUUUCUUGAUAAUAACUUGUGUGUAAGUGUAUGGAUCUUUCUGAAAUUGAACUACAAGGUUUCAUAUCACAAAGGGAAAGCUGGAAUUGAGUUUGGGGGUAAUUGCCCAAAACGUUUAGAAAUAAGGGGCCAAAAAGGGGCCUAAAAACAAGCAUUUUUCUAGUUUCCAGACAAUAACUUGUGUUCAAGUGUAUGGAUCUCUCUGAAAUUGUACUGCAAGGUACCAUACCUCAAAGGGAAGGAUUGGAUUGAUUUUGGGGGUAAUUGCCUCAAAAGUUUAGGGAUUAUGGCCCAAAAAGGGGCAAAAAACAAGCAUUUUUCUUGUUUCAGGACAAUAACUUGUGUGUAAGUGUAUGGAUCUUUAUGAAAUUGUACUACAAGGAUCCAUAUCUCAAAAGGAAAGCUGGGUUUGAGAUUGGGGGUAAUUGCUCUAAACGUUUAGGAAUUUGGGGCAAGAAAGGGGCCUAAAAACAAGCAUUUUUCUAGUUUCCAGACAAUAACUUGUGUUCAAGUGUAUGGAUCUCUCUGAAAUUGUACUGCAAGGUACCAUACCUCAAAGGGAAGGCUGGGAUGGAUUUUGGGGGUAAUUGCCUCAAAAGUUUAGGAAUUAGGGCCCAAAAAGGGGCAAAAAACAAGCAUUUUUCUAGUUUCAGGACAAUAACUUGUGUGUAAUUGAAUGGAUCUUUAUGAAAUUGUACUACAAGGUUCCAUAUCUCAAAAGGAAAGCUGGGUUUGAGUUUGGGGGUAAUUGCCCUAAACGUUUAGGAAUUUGGGGCCAAAAAGGGGCCUAAAAACAAGCAUUUUUAUACGCCCGUCAAAUUUUUGAAGGGACGUAUUAUGGUAUACAAAUGUCCGGCGUCCGUCCGUCUGUCUGUCCGGCGUAAACAUGUCGCACCGUAACUUGAGAAUAACUUAUCCAAAUUCCAUGAAACUUAACAUAGUUGUUUCUUAUGAUGGUCAAACAAUCUGUAUACUUUUUGGUGAAAAUAAGAUUAAAACUUUUUGAGUUACGGGACUUAGUAACUAAAACAGGUGUGUGUUUUUUUUCACAUGUCGCGCCGUAUCUCAAAAACAAUUUAUGAUUAUUGCUUAAAACUUUACACACUUCUUAGUUAUAUUAAUCUUAAGAUCUGUAUACUUUUUGGUGAUGAUUCAAAAUUUUAUUUUAGAGAUAUUGAGUAUUUUGUUAAAAAAGGGGGAGGGGUUUUUCACAUGUUGCGCCGUAUCUCAAAAACAGUUUAUGAUUAUUGCUUUAAACUUUACACACUUCUUAGUUAUAUUAACCUUAAGAUCUGUAUACUUUUUGGUGAUGA